rnacentral:rRNA from 1 species
UACGGAGGGUGCGAGCGUUGUCCGGAAUCACUGGGCGUAAAGGGCGCGUAGGUGGCGGAGCAAGUCAACGGUGAAAGCUCGACGCUCAACGUCGAGUCGGCCGUCGAGACUGCUUUGCUCGAGCACUGUAGAGGCAGAUGGAAUUCCGGGUGUAGCGGUGGAAUGCGUAGAGAUCCGGAAGAACACCGGUGGCGAAGGCGGUCUGCUGGGCAGUGCUGACACUGAGGCGCGACGAGCGUGGGAGCAACAGG